GACGAACGCUGGCGGCGUGCCUAAUACAUGCAAGUAGAACGCUGAAGAGAGGAGCUUGCUCUUCUUGGAUGAGUUGCGAACGGGUGAGUAACGCGUAGGUAACCUGCCUUGUAGCGGGGGAUAACUAUUGGAAACGAUAGCUAAUACCGCAUAACAAUGGAUGACACAUGUCAUUUAUUUGAAAGGGGCAAUUGCUCCACUACAAGAUGGACCUGCGUUGUAUUAGCUAGUAGGUGAGGUAAUGGCUCACCUAGGCGACGAUACAUAGCCGACCUGAGAGGGUGAUCGGCCCCACUGGGACUGGGACACGGCCCAGACUCCUACGGGAGGCAGCCGUAGGGAAUCUUCGGCAAUGGGGGCAACCCUGACCGAGCAACGCCGCGUGAGUGAAGAAGGUUUUCGGAUCGUAAAGCUCUGUUGUAAGUCAAGAACGGGUGUGAGAGUGGAAAGUUCACACUGUGACGGUAGCUUACCAGAAAGGGACGGCUAACUACGUG
rnacentral:rRNA from 1 species